CCCCAUGCAUCUUUAGCAGGUCAGCGAGUUGGUGGUUUUUUUAAUGAUAAGUGGAAUAAUUAGCUUCAAUGUAGACAGCACUUUUUUAAAGAGCUUAUCCAAACAUAAAAGAUUCUUGGAUUCUCUUUUCUUGUAAUUUAUCAUAAUUUUGGAUUUCUUAUCAGGCUCAGCUGAGUGGUGCAAUUAAACCAUCAAAGGAUCAAAUCAACUUAACAAUUGCCCUAUGUGCCUCCCAGGCAGACAUUCUAUAACAGCAGCACUAUCAGAAAUCUGUUUCAAUUAGGAUCAUAUUCUUCUACUAUGAAUAUGAUAGCAGGAAAUUUUCUUUCUUUUUUUUUUUUUUUUUGUACACGCUCAUCAUUCUUAACCUUCUUUUGGUUUCAACGUCCUUAUCACUGCUGCUGUUCUUUGUUGCCUGUGUGUUUUACAUUCACCACCGAAAAUAAUGUCGGUUUAGUUUCAUUCUACAUGUGUACAAAAUAAUCAAAGUAGUAGGAACAAAAGGAUAUAAAAGGUAAUAAGCAGCAAGCAUCGUACUCAAUAUAAUCAAUAAACAUCAUAGUAAAGAGCUAGAUUUACUUCAAACAUGCAUAGAUAGCAGCUUUAUAACUUCCUAGCACAGCAUACUAAAAGGUUCAAAUUAGGCAUUAAGAUCAAACCUUCCCCUUCUUUGUUUUGAGAAGGAUUGCAUAGGCCAAAAUGGCUUCCUUGUACUGCAAACAGUAUUGUAAAGAAAAAAGGAAAAUAGUUUAAUUUGGGGACAUUUUAUAAGUAAACUGCAAGGAAGAAAGCGAAAACAUCAUAUCUUCUUUAAUAGGUUUAUUUGCACAAGUCUUAUUACGCAAAGAAUUUGGCUUAAAACAAGACAAUUUUUAGAAGGAAAAGAAAACACUGGGCUUUGUAGAUCACAUAAAGCAUUCCAAAAUUUAUAUUUUUCUCCUUAGAUGUCAGACUAAAUUUGUGCUACAAUCAAGAUCUACAUUCAGAAGAACAUAAAUAUGAUUUUCCCAACCAGAGGACUCAUUUAUAAUUUACGAAUUUGACCUUUAUCUUAAGAUCUUCGCUAAAAUCAAGAGAUGUCAUGUAGAGGAAAUAUGUAAGACCAAACCAAUAGCAGUGCCUAACCUAACAUGUGACUAAACCAUUUACUAGAGAAUCUGACUGAAUGAGGCAACUAAUUAAAACUAUUUCUUCUGGUCUAAUUACAGAAUGCAACUUAUUGUUUUUUAACAUUAUUAUUUCUUUUGCUUGAAAUUUAGGAAGUUACUUGUGAUUUGCGUAAAAACCAAUUGAACUCCCAGCAAAUGAAACUCUAAGCUGCUACAUUUUCCCCCCCUUAAUGUACCCUUCUCCCUACAUGUCCAGUGAACCCAAGUCAUUGAAGCAGAUCCUUACUUGCUGCUGUUCAGAAGCAUCGAGAAUAAAAUGAACUGAGCCAAAUCCACUUGCCAAGGUUUUCUCAUAAAGCGUCCUGUUGACCAAAAGCUAUAAUGCAAGGCUCCUUUAGGAAAUCACUUAAGUACUUUAAACUGAAUAUCGCAUUCAGAAAUAUAUAAUGGUAAACUCGGAAUAGAAAGAUGACGUUGACUCACUUGAUACCUAUCCCACGUCUGUUUGUAUCCCAAAACCACACGGGACACAUAAAUUAUGAGAGCGCUGAUUGCAACCACAUCAAGAAAUAUUGCUGACCUGUCAUUAUAUUAAAAUAAGAUAAAUUAAUGGCAAUUUCCAAGGAAAUUAAACUGCAUUUUGAGAGACAAUCUCAAUAGAAAAAUUAGUCAAAGGAAGGUGAAAAGGGAAUCACCGAGCACUAGAAUUAAGGGUCAUCUUGCUAUUAAAAAACAACUACUUAAAAACAAAGAGAAUGCAUACGGGGAAUAUAAGACAUUCUCAAAUUUGUAGUUUAUGAAGUAUGCUGAAAGCCCUAAUAUUGAGGCGAUGUCCAAGCGUACCUGCAAAUUAACAGAAUACGGCCAUGAGGCUCAAAAUACAAAAGGACUUUAUUCAAUAAUCAGCAUUAUCCUACUCUUUUUUCUCCUAAGUUAUCAAAUCAAAAUAUGAAUAACCACAGUAACUAGAACUCACUGCCAGUCAACAAGAAUGAAGCUGGGAUUGGUUCCAAAGGGGGAGAAAACCAUAAACAACCAAAUUAAUAGUUUUAGUAUCAUUCAUAUGCUUAUGCUAGGAUGCAUAGAUAGUUCGUAGCAAUGAAAAAAAAAAGCCUCCAAAUAAAUACAUUCAUUAAUUUUUCAAUAAUGGUUAUUUGUAGAGGACUAGCGAAUAGUAAUUUAAGAAGUCAAAAUUUUACUAAAAAGAUGGUAGCCAGGUGAGGAGAGGAGAUUCUACUUCUGGAAAUUAUCCAUCCACUAAGCUACACAAUUGUUAGCAUGUAACAAUGAUCUACAUACCGUGUCUAUGAUACGGAAAGAUAGCUUUUUGUGGGGAAAGAUAACCUACAAAUCAAAUUAAAAACAACAAGAAAAUCAAUAGGCAGGAACUAGAAAAAAUACUGAGUAACUUUGAAAAUAAAUUGCUAGAAGCAAUGACAAUUACAUUGGAUGAGCUUUAAAUUUGAGACAGAAGUAUUUACUGGUAGAUCCGGAAUAGGAAUUCUCUCGUAAAUCUUUAACUGCAGCGAUGGAACGUCAGCAUUAUCGUCAGUAUUGCUGUCAUCUACUUCUUUGGUAUAAAGCAGAAUCAAUUCUUGAAAUGCUGCCUCCUAAUUUGCAAAGACACCAAAUAUUAUUACCAUCAGCAUGUAACUAUAUCUACAACAGAAGAGAAAUACUAAUCAUCCUAGAAGGUUUGCUUAUACAAAAGAGGUAACUAAGGAAGUAGAAUCAAACUAUAUAUGAGCAGUACCUGGAGGAUUGACUGUGAGAAAAGAAUAGAAACGGAAGUUUUUAGCAUUUUCCAAAUGUCAUUUCCACAGUAUUUCCUUGUAGCAGGUCUCCAUAUGUCACUAAGUGAUAUCCUUGAUAAGAAAAUGGGCCUGUGCAAACAAUAUUACUAUUAUUUGACCAUUAAAGGUUCCAAAUAGAAAAUCCAUGACUAUAAGAGCAGGCCAAACAUUUGAAAUAUGAAAUCGCUUGUUAACAUGGCAUUAGAUUAAAUGGUCCUUCAUGCAACCAGUCAGUUUUUUGUUUCAAUCAAUUAACGUUUGAACUUCAAUGUGAAUACUUCAAGUCUAAUAUUUACAAUACAAUCAAUUCUAUAUAAUCUUCGAAAUAAAUAAGAGAUUAAAAAAAAAAAACCGAAUUCGAAACGUUUUUAAGAGAAGGAAACCAAUACACCAAAAAAAAUGUAAAAAAAAUUUAAGGGACCAACACCACUAUAUUGAGCUCAAAUUCAUUUUGGUCAAGAAGAUUGACAUUUGGUACUGCUUUCAGUUAGUUAAGUUAAUAGCUUCUCUUCAAGUUAGAGGAAAAGCAGCAAACAACUGGAUAUAGAAAAACAGGGAUAAAGUGUGAUGGAAUGUGAACAAAAAAAAAAAAAAUUAUUGGGAAAACCUUGCAUAAGGGUCAGAAGCAUUAGUAUCACCAUCCAACUCAAACGGUGUUUCUGGUGUAGGGGAAAUAAGUCCAAUCCAUGAAAGCAACUUCUUUAAGAGCCUUCCACGGGGUCCAACUGUAGAUAAAAGCCCUUCAUAACGAGAUACUGCUCUCUGUGCUGCCAACCAUAUUGGGAGGUCCCUAUCUGAUGGUUGCUCUACUCUCAGACGAUCAUCAGAAGUUUGUUCAUUAUAACGAAAUGCUUGCUGAAAAACAGACAGCUCCUUAAGCCAAAGUUGCAUUCUUUUAGUCAAAUCUUGUACUUCUGGAGUUUGACAAGCAACUUUGAAUGCCUGUCAUAAAGCAAGAGAGAAAAAGUAUGUCAAACUAAAUAUAGAAGAAAGGGGAAAAGAAACAAAAACCUCUAGGCUGCUGCCCAGGAUGAAGAGGCAGCCAUUGUUCUGAAAAAGACAAUGACCUCAGUUAUCCAGCUCCCAAAUCUCCCCAAUGGUUUUGAUACGAUGAAGAAGGCUCCUUGUAGAAGUUUGGACUGUAUGUAAUCCAGUUUUUCCACAAGUAGUAGGCCCUUCUGCCUCUCUGUUGCAUAUCCUCGCCUGGCAGGAGUCAAUAUUUAGAUAGUUUACUAUCUUGAAAGUGGUCAGCUCAACACUAAUGGUCACAUAAAUCCUGUUCAGGGAUCUUGACUCUUAACCAGAAACAUAAAAUCUAUGUUUUUUAAGAAUAAAAUUAGUCAUAAUGCAACACGGCUUCAUGAUUCAGCUUGAAUCAGUGUAAAGAUUAAUAUAAAAACUAGAAUCACCUGAAUAUUAUUGCAUUGGACUCAGAUGCCCUCUUCCAGUCAACAUAUACGGGCAAAGUAAGGAGAUAAUCAGUGUUCAAUGCAGAUGUCAGCAUUAAAUCCCUUUCUGAUAGUUCUUCAAACUGAGCAUCAUAAAGAAGUUGCAUGAAAGAAUGCUGGAAACGAGCGGAAACAGCAACUCUACAUCAAAAGAAAAUAUUGCAUAGGAUUGAUGUCAAAGGUUUCCAUACCAUGAGUCUGAAGAAGAAUUGAGAAUAAAUAUAGAACAUACAUUGUGCAAGCCUCCAAAAAAUUAAAAAGGAGAUCAUUCAAACUUUAACCUCAAACUGGCAUUGUAAAGAAAAUAACAAUAACCAACACAGUACCAUCUUUGUCCUAUUUCUGGAAUAAGAAUUAAUUUUAUAACAUGAAAUUAGAUAAAGAGUUGUCUUCUGAUACAAUUCAAAUCAAAUAUACUCUGUAACAAUUACAAGCAUACAGUUUUCCAGUGUUAGAGUGAGUAUAACAAAUCCUAGACCUGACGCACUAAGCAUAAUUCCUACCAUUGAAGCUUUUCAAAGCCUCCAGCUUGUGCUUGAUGAGUUUCCCAGUAGUUUACAAAUUGGGUAGUAAAAAUGAAGAAAAAUAUUAACUUAAAGAAAAAUUUGUGAUACCUCUUGACGUUCUUAGCCGAAGAACCCAAGAGUUUUUUCAACCCCAGAACAUAAUCGAAUGGCAUUUGCUUGUCAGCUUCAACUUUUUCAUUCCCAUCUGCCUCCGUACUCUCAACUCCAUUAAUGCCACUCCUAGCAGAAUCUGAGCCCUGCCCAUUAUUCACAACUUGUUCAUCAACCUCCUUAACUGUUUGCUUGUGUUCCAUGGAGUUGGAAUCAAAAUAAUCGGCUCGCAUUGCUUCCAAGAUGCUUUUGUGUUCAGCAUGAAGAAUAGAGUCCAAGCACCUGCAAAUUAAACAGCUUUUGGUUAUUCAAUAUUUCUUCGUUUCUUCCAGCCAUUGAAAUGGGUUCGAUGGGAUUACGAAGAGAGAAGAAGAAAGUAUUGGAGAGCAUCAUCUUCAUCGCCAUUUUUGUCUUGGAACACAGUCGAAACGACGCCGUCCAGCAGCUCAGCCUUGGAAACAGGGAUGUACUUCUGCCUGGGCACUGGGAUUUUAGAAAUUCCAUGCUCUUCUUCUUCUUCUUCUUCUUCUUCUUCUUCUUCUUGGUUAUCUGGGACGACGUCGUUCUGCUUCUGAUUCUUGCGGGCAUCUUUCAAGUUUAUAGCUUCAAUUUGUUUAGGCUCCGUGGACAGUUCUUGGAAUCCGGUGAGCGAGGAGUGGGCGACUGUGAGCGACUGAGAUACUGCGGCUGAUGCUGGUGAUGAUGAUGACGACGAUGGUAAUAGACGGCGGUGUUUUGAGGUUAACGAAAGAGCAGUGAGGCUGCUGAGUGUGUGCCAAGAAGCUGACAUGUCAGGAUUGAAAAUCAGAGAGCAGCAGAGUGCCAACCUCGUAUGUUGGAUAAGGGAAAAUGGCUUUUUUGGUCGAAGGGGAAAAAUGGUUUCUUUCUUUCUCCUACUUGCUUUGUUAUAUUUUACGCAUCAUUUUUAUCCCUAAUUUUUCUAUUAAAGCAAUGUAAUUCUCAUUCUCAUAUGUCACACAUCAAUGUCAUAUUCGAAAUCAAUUCUAAUUUAGUCUAAUAAUAAAUAUUUUAAGAAUAAAUUCAUCUUGACACUUUUGUUGGUCACGGACAAAUAUAACAUGAUCAAUUUGAUAGAAAAUUAAAUAUAAGUGAUAUGGUGUUAAGGUUGAUGUGUAAAAUAAGAAGACCUAAAUAAUAUUGAUCUCGUUAAAAUAAUAGGACUGAAAAUAGCAUGUUUGAAAUGUAGAUGAACAUUAAUCUUCAACUUAAUCACUAAUAAAAGUUAACUUAAAUGGCCUGAUUUUCAAUAUGAAGUUAUCAUUUUUCCCUUAAAAUAGUGGGAAAAACAAUAGAUGGAAAGAAAUAAAAUUACCAUACAUGCCUCAAAUAUGAAGACUCUAUUUCUUCGUAAUUAAUGAAAUAUUUUUCAAAAAAAAUCAUGAUGAACUAUUACAUUUGUAAAUUGCCUUUAUAUCCUUUCAGUGUUCCAAAUCACAUGUAAAUGUAACCUACUCUGUUUUUUCUCUGCCUCAACAUUAUCUCCUCCAUCCACCAUGACCACUCUGAGCACUCUCUUCCAUCUCCACACUUCACCUUCAAACCCUACCCUCUCUCACGCCUCUCCUCACCUCCACCUCUCUUGCUCUUUCAAACCCAAAACCCCCAAACCACCAUCUCUCUUCUCUUCAACAACACCACCACCUGCAAGAGACAGAGUCAUAGACUUUGGAAAACACAAGGGCAAGAUGCUAGGAACUCUCCCUUCAAGCUACCUCAGAUGGAUCUCCAAGAACCUCCGAGCCCGUGACUUUGAAGACUGGGCAAAGCUCGCAGACCAGGUCCUAGACGACGCCGUUUACAAGGACCGGAUCGAAUGGGAGUUGGCUGAGAACGUUCUGAAUGGUAACAGGAGCAGUGCUCUUGGUGCAGGUGGAGUUUCUGAGUUGUUGGAAAUGAGUGAGAGGUUUGGUUGGGAUAAUAAUGACAAGAUUGGUUGGAGAAAAGUGAAUUUUGAGCUUCUGGGUACUUCUAGAGGUGGAAGAAUUCCAAGACUGAGUGAAAAUGGAGGAGGAGAGAGAGAGGUGGAGAGGAUGAGGGAGAGGGAGAAGAAGAAGAAGGUUGAGGUUUUGGGGGAAGGUGGAGAGAGGAGGAGGGAGAGGAGGGGGAGAUUGAGAAUGAAGAGGGAAGACGGAGGUGGGGUGAGGGAGGAGAGGGAGGAGAAGUUGGGGAUUUUGGAAAAGGGUGGGGGUGAUAUUGGAAAUGAAGUUGGAUUAGGGAGGAACAAAGAGAAUGAUGAAGGUUGGAUGGUUGAGAAUUCAAACAGAUUUCCUGGACGUGAAGCUCUGUUGAAGAAGGCAUACAGCAGAAGAAUGAGAAGAUUUUCGUAAUUCUUUUGGGUUUCUUCUUCUUCUUUUCAUUUGAACUUUUUUCUGGUGAGUUUAGAGAGAUGGUGGAUUUAUGAGUGUGUGUAUUAGCAUACAUUCAAAUGGUGAUUAGUGAACGUGAAAUGUGACUGGAUUUUAAGAUUGAACAAUCUUUUAAUAAUUUUAGUUUAGCUUUGGCUUUCAGAUAAAACUAGAAUUUGUAAUUUUGGUCGUAUAAUGUCAACAUAAAAUAUAUAUAUAUAUAUGUAUAUAUAUAUAUAUAUAAUAUUUUAAGAGUACAGCCGCUCGGCUAUACUCUAUAAAUAGAAUAUUUUAACAGUACAGCCGCCCGGCUAUACCCUUUAAAUAGCAUAACCUGGAUUUCCCUUUUUUAAUUACUUUAAUUAGUAGUUAUGUUUUAAUAAUUAUUUACUUAGUAAAUAAUUAGUAUUUAAAUAUUUUAUUUUUAAAAAAUUAAUUACUAUUUAUUAAAUAAUACAAUUUAUGAAGUUAAUUAAAAUAUUUAAUACUCAUUAUUCACUAAGUAAAUAAUAAUUAAAAUAUAAUUACUAAUGAAAGUAAUUUAAUAAGGCUAAGAUAUUAUUUAAUUACUAAAAAGAAACUAAAUACAAAAAAUUAUUUACCUAAAAAUACUAAGUUUAUAUAUAUUUUUUUUAAACCUCUCCAGACGAAAUUUCAUCGGCACAUGUCUAUCUCGGCGAAAUGUUGCUGAAUUAGACCUAUAACGACGACAUUUCAUCGGCUAUGUAAAUUUUGUCGGGAGAAGUCUAAUCUAGCAUAGACAUUUGCCGACAAAAUUUCAUCGGGAGAAGUUUUUUUGCUUUUUUUAUUUCAUUUUAAAAAUAUAAAAUUAGUUUCUUUACUUUUGUAUUUUGGCCAACUUCUUUAAUUUAAUAUAUGUAAUUAAGUAAUAUCUUAGUCUUUACUUUAGUAAUUACGUUUUAAUUAUUAUUUCUUUAGUUAAUAUUUAAAUAUUUUGCUGAUUUCAACCUCUAUAUAUCUUUUUGUUUCACCAUGUAACUGGAAAUAUUUUUUUUUUGUGUACAUCUCUCUUCUCUAGUAACCGGUUUUUCUUUACAUCACUGAUUUUUUUGUGUACAUCUCUCUUCGUUGCAAGUAAGUUAUUUUCCACAACAGUUAUAGCACAUCUAAUAUUCUUUGUAGGCUGAAUUGUAGCAAUGGUCCAUAAACUAAGAUCAAACUUUACUUUUCGUCCCUCAUAUUGUUAAAUUGUUAUGGUUGUGUUUUAAUUAGAUCUCAUGUUGCAUCAUUGGUCUUUCCAUCAACUUAGUUAAAUUUUAUGUUAAAAUUAAGGGCAAAUUGGGAAAUUCACAACUCUCUCUCUCUCUCUCUCUCUCUCUCUCUCUCUCUCUCUCUCUCUCUUUCUCUCUCUCUCUCCUCCUGUGCGCUCUCCUUCUUCCCUGGACGAUUUCUUCUUCCCCCAUUCCCCCAUGACUACCACUUGCAAACUCCAACCCACAACCACCCUCUACUGUAGCCCGCAACCCCAACACCCACGGACCCAGAAUCCCAGCCCCCAUCCUCCACCCCAAAUUUGGUCAAAACAAAGAAGCAGAGGGUUGAUAGGUAUUCAUAUUUCAAGUGAUGAAAUUUCAAUUUUAGUUUUUUCUUUUAUCAUUUUGUUGAGACUUUAGAUUUGCUAGCUUCUUGGGUGGCUUUUAUCAUUUUGCUGAUAUCUGGAUAUGGGUUGUCUCAGUUUUCUUGUUUACUUUAGAUUUGCUAGCUUCUUAGUCAGGUGUAUUGAUUGUUGGCGUGACUUGUGGAUAUUGACUUACUUUCCUUACACACCAAGAAUUCCUAUUAUAAUUGUAAUUGAUUUACUUUAAUUCCUGAUUUCCUACUGUAAAUAGAUUUAGGAAUUUAUUAUUUACUUGCCCAUUCAGGUUUCGUUGUAUUAUAAAUAUGACCUCCUACAAGGAGAAGAAUACACAGAAAAUUCCCACAAACAAAUAUUCUCUCAUAAUUUUCAUAUUUUAGCAUGGUAUCAGAGCGGCGAUCUUGGAAUUGCUGACUCUAGUUUCAAAACCCCGCCGCCGCUAUGAGGGUUGAUGAUUUUUUCAACCCUCAUGGAGGUAGCACCACCGACUCCUUCUCUCAUUCUCAACCAACCAUCGUUGAGUUGAGUGCCCAGAUGGCUCUGACCCUACAGAUGCAGACUUUGACCCUGAACCCGAUCCAGAAUCAGGAUUCUCUUUUAACGACCCCGACCCCGACUAUGACGACGACGACCCCGACCCCGACUCCGAAGACGACCCCGACCCGCACUCCGAUGAUGACCCCAACCCCGAAUUUGUCUAUGAUUCAGACCCCGAUCCAGAAUCAGGAUCCUCUUUUGACGACCUCGACUCCGACCCCGACUAUGACGACGACGACGACCCUGACCCCGACUCCGAAGACGACCCCGACCCCCACUCCGAUGAUGACCUCAACCUCGAAUUUGUCUAUGAUUCAGACCCCGAUCCCGAUUUCGACUCCGACUCCGGCCCCGACUCAGGCUCAGAUUCUGAUCCAAAUUCCUACUCAACCUGUAUCCUAUGCUUCUUCCGCUGCACAGAUUAUGACUUCUAGACAAACGACCCCGACACAUGUACCAAAUUGCGCAUAUUGUGGUGAUCCGAGACACACUUGUGAGACUUGUUUUAAAUCGCAUGGCUACCCCGAUUGGUGGGCUACUCUUACAGAUCGAGGACAAUGCAAUAUGACCAGUAAUGGUACUGGUUAUGGAUUCCAUACUUCCGAUAAGAUUGAUUCCAAGAGCUGGAUAAUUGAUUCUGGUGCAACUGAUCAUAUGACGUUUGAUCUUGAUGAUUUUCUGAAUACUACACAACCUCGACGAACCUGUAUUGCAAAUGCCAAUGGUGUUACUUAUCCUGUGACAGGGGCUGGCACUGUUGCACUCUCAUCCUCUCUCACAUUGUCUAAUACUUUACUUGUUCCAUCUUUAUCCACUAAAUUGUUGUCAGUUAGUCAGCUUACUGAACAAUUGAAUUGUUGUGUACUCAUUUACCCGAGUUUUUGUUUGCUUCAGGAUAUUCACACUAAGGAGAUUCUUGGUCGUGGUACUAAGAGAGGGGGGCUAUAUUAUGUUGAUAACUUCAGUCCCGGCGUGGCUAACAGUGUGACACAUCCCUUUGAUAGCAAACAAAAGCAAAUCUGGUUGUGGCAUCGUCGAUUGGGACAUCCGUCUUUUAGUUAUAUGAAGCAUCUUAUACCAGAUUUAUUCUCAGGUUUUAAAGACUCCGACUUCACAUGUGAUACUUGUAUUUUGGCCAAGAGUCACCGUGUGCCCUACCCGUUGAGUACGAACAAGUGUACUACUCCAUUUACAUUAAUUCACUCUGAUGUCUGGGACCUUCGCCUAUCACUGCUCCUUCUGGUGUUCGAUGGUUUGUCACAUUCAUCGAUGAUUGUACACGGAUGACAUGACUUUAUUUGCUGAAGAAUAAAAACGAAGUGUUUUCCCGUUUUCAGUCCUUCCACAAACAGAUGAAAACUCAGUUUAAUGCUCAAAUCCAGAUUCUUCGCUCAGACAAUGGUGGAGAAUUUGUCAAUCAUGACUUUCAGACAUACUUCCAACAACAUGGAAUUAUCCAUGAGACGACUUGUCCUCAGACACCGCAACAAAAUGGUGUUGCUGAACGAAAGAAUCGACAUCUUCUUGAAACCGCCCGAGCACUUCUGAUUGGCGCUCAUGUUCCUCGCCAUCACUGGGAUGAUGCUAUUGUCACUGCAGUUCACCUGAUCAACCGCAUGCCUUCUGGUGUCUUGACCUUUAAAACUCCUUUACAGGUGCUUGCGCAACACAGACCUCUGCCCUCUGUUUUGGUACUCACACCCCGAAUCUUUGGAUGUGUGGCUUUCGUUCAUCUCCACAAAAAUCAACGUAGCAAACUUGAUCCCUGUGCGCUUCGUUGUGUUUUUGUGGGUUAUGCCACUCAUCAGAAAGGUUACCGCUGUUAUCACCCUCCUACUCAACGAACCUAUGUCACUUUGGAUGUGACUUUUCUGGAAUCUGAGCUGUUCUUCCAUGACCCAUCAUCCAAUUCUGCGCUUCAGGGGGAGAUACGAAGUGAAGAACAGAAUUGGAGCAACUUGGAAAACAAAGAAAUUCUCCUAUGUACAGAAAUGAUUGAUCAUCCCGAGUCUGGAGCACGAGAUUACUCUCUGUUGAAAAGUGACCAAUCGCCCAUUCAUAGCGAUCAAUUGCCUGACCCACCUGAUCCAUGCGAAGAUAUUUCUGAUCCGAGUCCCACACCUACAGACAAUACAGAACAACAAGAUGAAGACCCCCCUUCUAACUCAACAGUACCAACAGACCAAUCUCCUGAGAAUAUCCUUGAGGUAACUACUCCUACUAGACUUGUGCAUUUAAAUGAUAAAACUAUUGGAUAUCAAUUACCUUUCAGGCAAAAUCGUGGGAAGCCACCAAACCGUUAUUCACCGGAUAUUGGCAAAACAUCCAAGUAUCCAAUUGCAAAUCAUGUAUCCACUGAGAAGCUGUCUGAACCACUCAAGGCUUUUGUGCAUCAGUUGUCUGCUAUCCAUAUUCCAACCAAGGUCUCUGAAGCAUUGAAAGAUCCUAAGUGGGUCCAAGCUAUAAAAGAGGAGAUGAAAGCUCUUGAGAAAAAUCAGACUUGGACAUUGGAGACUAUACCACGAGGAAAAAAGACUAUCGGAUGUAGAUGGGUGUUUACUAUAAAACACAAUGCAGAUGGAUCUAUCGAGCGAUACAAGGCAAGACUUGUGGCAAAAGGGUACACACAGACCUAUGGUAUAGACUAUGAAGAAACUUUUGCACCAGUUGCAAAGUUAAACACCGUCAGAGUUUUAUUGUCCCUUGCAGCUAAUUUGGAUUGGCCACUACACCAGUUUGAUGUAAAGAAUGCUUUUCUACAUGGCGAACUCACGGAGGAGGUGUACAUGGACAUUCCUCCUAGAUAUAAUACUACUCAGACUAGAACAGUUUGCAGGUUACGAAAAGCAUUGUAUGGAUUGAAACAGUCACCACGUGUAUGGUUUGGACGGUUCAUCAUGGCAAUGAAGAACAAUGGUUUCAAACAGUGCAACUCAGAUCAUACUCUGUUCUUGAAACAUCAAAAAAGGAAGGUAACAGCAUUAAUAAUCUAUGUUGAUGAUAUGAUUAUUACUGGGAAUGAUAAACAGGAAAUAUCACAGUUACAAGACUAUCUGGCUACGGAGUUUGAGAUGAAGGAUCUAGGUGGACUCAAGUAUUUCUUGGGAAUUGAGGUGGCUCGAUCGCAGCAAGGCAUAUUUCUCUCUCAAAGGAAAUAUGUCUUAGACUUGUUGAUAGACACAGGAAUGCUAGAUUGUAAACCUGCGGACACUCCUAUUGUUCAGAAUCAUCAUCUUGGAGAAUAUCCGGAUCAAGUUCCAACUAACAAAGAAAGAUACCAAAGGUUAGUGGGAAGAUUGAUCUAUUUGUCACAUACUCGACCAGACAUUGCUUAUGCGGUGAGCGUUGUCAGUCAAUUUAUGCACUCUCCAAGUGAAGACCACAUGAAUGCAGUUCUUCGGAUACUUAGAUAUUUGAAGUCUGCACCUGGAAAAGGACUUAUGUUCUCAAAGCAUGGUCAUCUAAAUAUUGAUGGUUAUUCAGAUGCAGAUUGGGCAGGUAAUGUAACAGAUAGAAAAUCCACAUCGGGUUACUUCACAUUCGUGGGAGGUAAUUUGGUGACAUGGAGGAGCAAGAAACAGAAUGUAGUAGCUUUAUCCAGUGCAGAAGCCGAGUUCAGAGGCAUGACUAAAGGGAUUUGUGAACUUCUUUGGUUGAGAAAGUUGCUUAUUGAACUCGGGUAUAAACCUACAUCCACAAUAAAUCUCUUUUGUGACAACAAGGCUGCUAUAGCCAUUGCACAGAAUCCGGUUCAGCAUGAUCGUACUAAACAUGUUGAGGUGGAUUGACACUUCAUCAAACAGAAGCUUGAGGCUAAAGUGUUUCAGUUUCCUUUUGUGAAAUCCGAGGAUCAAUUGGCGGAUAUUUUGACAAAGGCGAUUUCCAGUAAAGCAUUCCACAAUUCACUGGAUCAGUUGGGCAUUGGUGACAUAUAUGCACCAACGUGAGGGUGAGUGUUGGCGUGACUUGUGGAUAUUGACUUACUUUCCUUACACACCAAGAAUUCCUAUUAUAAUUGUAAUUGAUUUACUUUAAUUGCAGCAAGAGGCAGGGACCCAAAAAAACCAGAAAGAUAAUUGAAAAAGACUUAAUUUUUAAGAAGUUAAACAAAAGAUCUCACGGAGAAGAAUACACAGAAAAUUCCCACAAACAAAUAUUCUCUCAUAAUUUUCAUAUUUUAGCAUUGAUCUACUAAGAGAAAAGGCAAAGCUUUGAGCUGAAAAACUCACUCUUCCUCUCAGGUUAAUUUUCAUUAUCAUUCUCUCUCUCUCUCUCUCUCUCUCUCUCUCUCUCUCUGAAAUUUUAUUUGUAUAAACUUUGUUUGCCCAGUGAUGUUGCUGAAUUGUUGUUUAUCUCGUUCAGUUCAUAUUUGCACCAUGAAAUCUCCACUGAGCUUUUACUCUGUUUUUGUGGGUGUGGCCAAGUUCCUUCCAUGCGCUUAAUAGAAUUUUGAACUUUUCUACUCUGUUUAUUUAUUUUUAGCAGAUUAAGUAGCUAUCUAUCCUGAUUUUUCACAAAGUGUUCAUCUUUCCUUUACCCUUUUUCAUUUUUGAUGGGAAUGUAUUUUGGGUUUGAACUUUGAACUGAAAAUUUAAUGGAAUUAUGUUAAUUCAACAAGGCUUUUGUGGGCUGCAAGUUUAUGUGCCUUAUGGUAUCCUGAAUUGUUUCAGCUUUGCAUUUAAUGUAAUUGCAAGAGUAACAUGUGUUUGGUGGGUUAAUUAAGUGAUAUUCUAUCCAUUUAUUUCCUUUUCUUCUCUUCUGUUUUGUAUAUUAUUUGGUCUUUGAGUAAAUUUAUCAGAAUUGGAUUGAUUUUGAUGAAGCAAGUAUGGGUUACUUUGUAUUUUGGUGUUAAUUUCUGGAGGAGUUGUUGGUCAACGAUUUUUUGUCUCUAGAGCAAGAACGAAGGAUUUCCUUUUAUUUCUAUCUUCUCCUUGGAUUGUCUUGUUUCUCUAAGCUAGAUUAAGUUAAUCUUGUUGUUCUUUGAAAUUCCUUGCAUUCUCUGAUGACCACUUCAGAAAUUAUCUGACUAUGAUAUAUUGAUUGGUUAGAGUUAUUCCACAAAUGGCUAAGUUUUUCUUUUCAACUAUCCCCUUUUGGAUGAUGGAUUGGUUCUUGUAAUUGCUAUGGAAUAUUCAAUGAAGGCAUUGAACUUCCAAAAGAUAAUAAUACGUGCACCCUAUAUAAACUUUACGAUGGAAUGUGUUGGCUAAUCUAAUUUUUGGAGCUUGAUUGGGUUUGUUUUAGAAUGAUUGGUAGUUUGCUUUAAUAGCACUAGGUUAAGAAUUUAUUUUUCUGUUUGGAAAUUUCAGUGCUUUGGAAAAUGUUGUAUUUGUUCAGAACCAUAAACUAUGACCUUGUUUUAAACGAAGAUUUGUCCAUUUUAUUGUUGAUUUUCUUGUUGAAGUAACUUUUCUUGUUUUUGGUUAUCACAUUGCAGAACUCUAAUGUCAGUUGAUAGUUCAUUUGGAAAGCUUCCUGAUCAUCUCCUAAUAGAAAUUUUCAUUCGAGUUCCUGUCUCAGAGUGGGCACAAAUAUCCUGUGUCAAAAAACAGUGGGCCAAUCUGUUUCGUGGAGAAUGUUUGUGGCAAGCUGCUCUUGCUACAACAUAUCCUUUGGCUAACCCAGCUAAAAGGUGGCCUGGACCUAUCCCUCGAGGGUUGAGCAAGAGGUAGCAUCACAUUUCUCCUUGCGAUGGUCAUUUCUUUUUUCUUGCUUUCUAUCCAUUUCUAACUUUCCAAUUUCUAUUAUCUCUUUUAAUAAUUACUUUCUUCUGAGUUUUUAUGUUCUAUUGUUCUGGAUUUCUAGCGAAUAAUCUCCUUUCCCAUCCUAAGCAGAUAGCUGUGACUCUUCCCUAAGAUCCACGUUAUAAUCUUGUUUCCAAAUCAAUGCAGAAAAAAUAACUUAGACUUACAAGUGCAAGGAUAUCUUUUACAGUAGCUGCUGGUCUGAUGCAUGUGCUUCACUUCAAAAUCCAUGCAUUAUAUUUUGCUAAGCUAUUGACAAUUUUCUCAGGAGAUUUGCAGCUUUAUAUGUCAGUAAACAUAUCUUUUCUCUGGAUGGUGAGAUUGAUGAGAUUGUGGGCCAUACAUAUUUAUUUCUAAAAGAGCAGCUUGAGCUUUCAACUAUGCCACCCUCUUCUAGCAUAUUGCAUGGAACCAUAAUAGGUCUGUUUCAAAUUUUGCUUGCAUUUUUCUUGCUCUCUACCUUCAUAUGUUUAGAUUUGAAAAUUUGAUAUGUGCAAUGACUAUAUUUUAGUUAAAUACUGAUCCCCAAUCUUGCAUUUGCUUCUGGCUUAUGGACAUGUUCAAUUUUUUUUGCUUUAAAUAACAUGUAUGGCAUGCAUAAGUAUACAUCCCCAUGUCUGUACCUCACAAAUUGUGAUCCAUGAUGCCAUUUGAUGUUCUAGAAUUCCAAUCUCAGUGUCCUGAUAAUUAGAAUAUGGUAUUGGAAUGUACAUGUUAUCUUGAACCUGUUAUUGUCCACUGUCAUGUGGCAAGGAUUGUUGGAUAUCAAAUCUGAUAGUGAAGUUUGGUGCUCACACUUUAGUUUUUUUAAUACCAGGCUGUAAAUUCUUUUCACAUCAUAACCCGGGAUUACUGCGUGUUUUAGCAGAUCAGUUUAUUGCUUGUGGUAAAUCGAGGGACAUGGCUCAUGAUCUUGCUUCCCAGAUCUGGCUGGCUGUUCUUGACAAUUUAGAGGAAAAUGAGCACACUUUUCAAAUACUUAAACGUCUCGCACAAGAGCGGGAUGUAAGCUAUCUUUUCUGUUAAUUAAUAUACUCACUAUAACUACUGUAGAGACACCAAGCAUACAUUAGUUCAGUCUUUUCUCUCUGACAUUUACUAUCUGAAUUGAUUUAUGAAAUUACUUAAAGAGGAUGUGUAGGCUGGUAGUAUUUUGUUUUACUGUUGGAGAAUAUGGAUGAUACUGCUGGAGAAAUUACCUGUAUUUUUGUGACAAAGCACCAUACAAACACGACCAAGUUUAUCUUGUUCUUGCAAAAUGUUUAUUUUCUUUGAUGCGGUAUGGGUCAUCCGCGGCUAAUUCAUUCAUAUUCAGCAGGUUUUUCUUCCAUACCCCUACUCAAGAUCAAUCAAAGUCCAAUGGAGGGUGUUUGAAAAGCUCUUCACAGAUUUUCGCGACUGCUUUGAUAAUGUAGAUUACUAUGAUGUGUUAUCUUGCGCAAAGACCAAAUUUCAGCCAAUACCAUCCAUUUGGUUAGGUUACUGAUCCACCUCAAAUGCCUAUUUAUUCAGGAUUCAUGAGUAUUUGUAUAUAUAUAGGGGUCACUCUUUGCUUCUGCCUUCUGUCUCAUCUCGAAGAGAAUGGCCGUCUGAAAAAUUGAAAGUCUUGUGUACCAUGCUUGAUAGGAGCAAAAAGAAACUGUUUAUAUUUGUACUGUUAAUAGUUGCAUGAUUCGAAUACGUACCCAAACAGAGGAGAAGAGUUGCUUGAAAUUUUUUGUUGUAUAACUACAACCACGAGAAUGUAAUGCAACUUGAAAUUAUAUUUUAGCAUAAAGCCGUGAAAAUGAUUCUUUUAGGGUCAACCCCCUUAUUUUUUGCUAGACUAAUUUCUAAAUGCCAUUAGAAGUUACAACUUUUGUGGACUGCAAUGUGAAAUUGCCACCCAGGUUGGGGAAGAAAGUUGGUAGAAAUUAGAAUUGUCUAAAAGAAAUCAAUGAGAGAUAAACACUAAUUUUAUUUUGGACAAAAUUAAAUUAAUAAAUAAGGUUACGGUAUUAGUUUAGUACAAUGGUAUAUAUAAAAUCUCUGUUGUUAAGAUUAUCAAAUCCGUUGUAGUCUAGUUGGUCAGGAUACUCGGCUCUCACCCGAGAGACCCGGGUUCAAGUCCCGGCAACGGAAGUUUUAUUUUUUAAUUUUAAUUUUCACGAUAUCAAGCGUUUUGGUUGAAGGCCUCCCCUAUGAUUAUGGCAGUAGACUAUCGAAACAGACUUGUCUUCUGUGGGCCCAAAGUAUUUUGAACCCCACAAGAGUUUUUAUUUCACUUUUAUUUUUAUGUUGAAAUAUAACGGUUAUUUUAUUUUAUUUUUUUGUUGAUUACGGAUACGUGUUCAAGUAUUUUUUUUUUCUUUUCUUUUUAUUAAGAGUUUUUUAAGAGGAAAUUGUUAUUAGCACUCUAAAAUAAGUUAUUCACUUAUAUUUUUAUGUUGAAAUAUAAUGUUUAUUUUAUUUUAUUUUUAUGUUGAUUAGGGAUACAUGCUCAAGUUUUUUUUUUUUUUUCUUUUCAUUAAGAAUUUUCUAAGAGAAAAUUGUUAUUAUUACUCUAAAAUAAUUCAUCCUCCAUUAAUAAAGGAGUAUAUGAUAACUAUUUGGAACGUUAAUAACAACUUCUAUAAUAAAAACUUUAUUGUUUGUCUGUCUUUAUUUACUUUGUGCUUGACUUGUUUUCUUUGUUUGUCCAAGUACAUAGUAUUGAUACUGAUGCAAAACAUGUGAGAUAGUAUUUGGAGCCGAACGUUUUUAAGUUUGUGAGAUAUACUAUGUUCAUACAUCUGAUAUAAGAUUUAAGCACAAAUAAAUUACGAUCAUUUGUCAUUUUACUUUUAAUUGUUUCUACGAUAAGGAGAGACAAACUACCUUUAACUAGAAUUAUGUUUUGUUUCUAUCCAACUAUCAAAUGAUAACAAUAAACUAAUACAUCAUAAUACAGUAUAUGCACUUAUUAUCAUCACAUCAUAACAUAAAAUAAAAUCAAGAUUUCUAGCAUUUUUCUUCAUUUUCGAUCCUUUCUAACUAGGUUUCUUGGAUUUGAACUUGAGAUUGCAAUCUCAUAUGUAAUGGCACAAAUGAGAAUGUUACCAAUCAUAUAUGAUCGCCUGGAUGAGAAUGUUGAGGUAACGAAUGUUUUCAUGUAAUUCCUCCAAUAUCUUAACUAUAGAUACAUAUACACAAUAUAUAUAAUGUGUUUUCAUUUCUUUCUUGAUCUAUUUUCGAUGGAUUGCCAAUUUAAUAUAUUUCUACACCAAAUAAGCACAUAUUUCAUGAGGUUAGUCAAUCACAUGAAUUACUCACCAUGCUCUUAAGUGUGAAAUUUGAUUGGAUGGCAAUUUUCCACCGACAACAAAUUGCAAAAUAAUUU
rnacentral:lncRNA from 1 species